rnacentral:rRNA from 1 species
CAGUCGCCACGGUAAUACGUAGGGUGCGAGCGUUAAUCGGAAUUACUGGGCGUAAAGCGUGCGCAGGCGGUUUUGUAAGACAGGCGUGAAAUCCCCGGGCUCAACCUGGGAAUGGCGCUUGUGACUGCAAAGCUAGAGUGCGGCAGAGGGGGAUGGAAUUCCGCGUGUAGCAGUGAAAUGCGUAGAUAUGCGGAGGAACACCGAUGGCGAAGGCAAUCCCCUGGGCCUGCACUGGCGCUCAUGCACGAAAGCGUGGGGAGCAAACAGGAUUAGAUACCCCUGUAGUCCCUGUCUCUUAUAC